UACGGAGGGUGCAAGCGUUGUUCGGAUUUAUUGGGCGUACAGCGCGUGUAGGCGGUCUGUUAAGUCUGAUGUGAAAGCCCGGAGCUUAACUCCGGAAGUGCAUUGGAUACUGGCAGACUAGAGGACGAGAGAGGGAAGUGGAAUUCCUGGUGUAGGGGUGAAAUCCGUAGAUAUCAGGAGGAACAUCAGAGGCGAAGGCGGCUUCCUGGCUCGUUACUGACGCUCAGACGCGAAAGCGUGGGGAGCAAACAGG
rnacentral:rRNA from 1 species